CAUUAUUUUUCUUGAUUUCUCAAGAUGUUCCAAGCUUCAAGCUUUCAUCUAAAUUUAUUUGUGCCGCCGACUUUCCAUCACAGAAUUUUCAAGAAAGUGUGAAUAGUUAUAUAACAACGACUCCCAUACAUGCACGCGCGCAUUCCGUUUCAUUUUAUGCAACACAUUACCGAGGAGUGUCAUAAAUACCGCGUCCCCAAAAGUCCUGUUACGUCCAGCCGAGGGAACCACGACUAAAACGGGAAGUGAGAUCGAAAAGAAGACAAAGUUCUCACGUUAUGCGCACGUGUUGCCAGUGGACGAACACAAAGGUGCACCGACGCCGUGUACGACGCAUCGGGACGCAUCUCCCAGGUGGCAGCCACUUUUUGGAGCCCCCCUAAAACAAGAAAGAUCUGCACCUGAGAUUAUCGUCUGAAUUCAUUAUUUUUACUCAGGGUCUGCGUUGGUUCUUGUAUUCUGAUUCAAACUGACUUAUUGGACACAGUUGAGGACCUGUAUCUGGGGCCAGUGGAAGUGGAUCGCAAACAACAAAAGGAUUGAAAUAUUACAUAAAAAAAAAAGAAACAUAUUGUUACAAGUGUCAAAGAAAAUGAAUGAAUACUUGCAUUUCAAUGAAGUCACAAAUAUAAAUACCACAAUAAACGUUUAAUUACGUAAUUUCCAAUAGUGUACAAAUAAAGUUGAAUCAAAGAAGAAAUUUUCAAUAGUGUCAGUCUGGCAGUCAACGUGUUAACGACUUAUUCUCGAGUCAUCCAUACUUUUCUGCCUCGGAUAUAAUUCCCUCUAGCCUUCCAGAUUUCAAAAACACUGUUCUAUCCGAAUGGAGGGGCAAUUAUGUUCGCGCACCGGUACGAUGCGCGUGUUUCUCGGUACGUAAUGCAACGCGAGUGCAUUUUUCCGACGCGUACUCCUCCUCGCGUGGUUGCGUAACCGCGCGAGCUCUUCCUGAAUGCGGUUGACGUAACUCUUAUCCGAGGUGCGCUGCACGUACGUAACACACGUCGAGGAAGCGCAUCCUCGCCGCUGGAUCCCCACGAGGAUACGCCCGAUAACUGUGCACGCCCUGGGGAAGGGACUGCCGAGGACCACCGGCUCCUGUCAGGCCUCGGUUCCGCGAGAUUAUCGACAACCACGAUCUCGAUAAAGCGUCGACCUCCAGAAGACCAGGCGUGCCAAGUGUUUCGAGACACGCCGAAAAUUCCCUGGAUUCUUCCUGCUUACGAUGUUUCCAAACACUGCCGUUGCGAUCGAGAAACGCUUCUACCCAGCGGCACUGGAGGAGACGCUCAUUGAGAAUAAUCUGCGUGCAUUGUCAGGACUGAAAGAUCGAUCAUAACGUUCGCUUCCUUAUUGCGGAAACCUGUCCAUUGGCUGACACGUGCGACACUCGAUGUUCGAUCAACUGGCAGUGCAGCACGGAUUAUGCAAUUCGUCGUGCGUUAUGCAACCGUGCAUCGAACGAGAAAGCGUGUGUAUGGAAUGCGCGGAGCGAAAACGCAGACGUCCGUUAAUCGAGCGUAUCUCCGCAACAGGAUCAAGGACCAGCCACCGCAGGUUGCAUAACGCCACCGAGAAUUCUGUGCGACGUACUUUUGGCGACCUUUGCGUCGAUUGGUCUUGACUGAGAGCAUCGAAGCGUUCAGGUUUUUAUACAGAAUUUGGUAAAACAAUGGAUACAAGUAGAGAAUAUUUGAAUCGUUAAAAAGUGGGAGUUUCAAAUCACCAUUUGCCUGGCCAUACGCCUUUCUCGAGAAGAGAAUUGUGAUUUUUUUCUGAAAACCUGAUUCGUUGGCCUAAUCAUCGGUAAUACCAGCGCUCCAAGAGAAAUCGGCUCGAACGGACGAAUUGCUCUUAAUAGUACACCGCGGAGGCAGACAUUUCCUGUGUCUAUGCACGAUUUACAGAAUUAUGAUCACGCACGGUUACGUAUCGCCCUUCUGGGGAACGAAAAAAACAACGAUCAUCAGCGUAGACAAGUGCCUGUACGCGAGUGUAGUUAUGUCAUCGCGAGAAGUCACCAUGAGUAUGAAGUGGAGUAAUAAAUAAAGAGAAUUAUUCUACUUUUUCUUCUAACAAACACGUUCAAACAAAAAUAAAAAAUGAAUUAAUUUUCUUACACUUACAGAAGAAGUUUCGGUUCUCAUCAUCUUCUAGAUACUUAAAUCUUUGCGGAAUCUAGAGUAAAACGUAGUUGUUUCCUAUUUUUC